rnacentral:rRNA from 1 species
AGCAGCCGCGGUAAUUCCAGCUCCAAUAGCGUAUAUUAAAGUUGCUGCAGUUAAAAAGCUCGUAGUUGAAUUUCGGGACCAUCAUGUCGGUCGUGCCUAGGUACGUACUGGCAUUGUUGGUUUCUACCUUCUGACGAACCAUGAUGUCAUUUAUUUGGUGUCGUGGGAAAUCAGGACUGUUACUUUGAAAAAAUUAGAGUGUUUAAAGCAGGCUCACGCUUGAAUACAUUAGCAUGGAAUAAUGAAAUAGGACGUUUGAUUCUAUUUUGUUGGUUUCUAGGAUCGACGUAAUGAUUAAUAGGGAUAGUUGGGGGCAUUAGUAUUCAAUUGUCAGAGGUGAAAUUCUUGGAUUUAUUGAAGACUAACUACUGCGAAAGCAUUUGCCAAGGAUGUUUUCAUUAAUCAAGAACGAAAGUUAGGGGAUCGAAGACGAUCAGAUACCGUCGUAGU